rnacentral:misc_RNA from 1 species
GAUGAAGAACGUAGUGAAGUGCGAUAAGUAAUGUGAAUUGCAGAAUUCCGUGAAUCAUCGAAUCUUUGAACGCAAAUUGCACUCUCUGGCAACCCGGGGAGUAUGCCUGUUUGAGGGUCAGUGUUAAUAAAAAUCGGGUUCGUUGCAAUUUUUGUGACGUUUCCGGAGUUUGAGUUAUCUUAACUUCGGUUUUUAAGAGGCUUAAAAUUGACCUUUUUUUGUGCAUUUUAGACGUACAUAAAUUUUUUUUUAUUCGCCUAUCCUAAUGCCAAAAUCUAUUAGAUGCGACCAUAUCUUGUGGUUCCGUGUCUAUAAAUUUUUCAUGAUUUGACCUCAAAUCAGGUAGGAACACCCGCUGAACUUAAGCAUAUCAAUAAGCGGAGGA